rnacentral:rRNA from 1 species
GCCUAACACAUGCAAGUCGAACGGUAACAGGAAGCAGCUUGCUGCUUCGCUGACGAGUGGCGGACGGGUGAGUAAUGUCUGGGAAGCUGCCUGAUGGAGGGGGAUAACUACUGGAAACGGUAGCUAAUACCGCAUAAUGUCGCAAGACCAAAGAGGGGGACCUUCGGGCCUCUUGCCAUCGGAUGUGCCCAGAUGGGAUUAGCUUGUUGGUGGGGUAACGGCUCACCAAGGCGACGAUCCCUAGCUGGUCUGAGAGGAUGACCAGCCACACUGGAACUGAGACACGGUCCAGACUCCUACGGGAGGCAGCAGUGGGGAAUAUUGCACAAUGGGCGCAAGCCUGAUGCAGCCAUGCCGCGUGUAUGAAGAAGGCCUUCGGGUUGUAAAGUACUUUCAGCGGGGAGGAAGGGAGUAAAGUUAAUACCUUUGCUCAUUGACGUUACCCGCAGAAGAAGCACCGGCUAACUCCGUGCCAGCAGCCGCGGUAAUACGGAGGGUGCAAGCGUUAAUCGGAAUUACUGGGCGUAAAGCGCACGCAGGCGGUUUGUUAAGUCAGAUGUGAAUCCCCGGGCUCAACCUGGGAACUGCAUCUGAUACUGGCAAGCUUGAGUCUCGUAGAGGGGGGUAGAAUUCCAGGUGUAGCGGUGAAAUGCGUAGAGA